AGUUCUAUACUUUAAUAAAAGACCUGAUUUGCAAUCAACCAUUGAGUGCUAACUCCAACACUCUAGAACUAAC
rnacentral:tRNA from 1 species